rnacentral:rRNA from 1 species
UACGAAGGGGGCUAGCGUUGCUCGGAAUCACUGGGCGUAAAGGGCGCGUAGGCGGCAUGGCAAGUCAGGAGUGAAAAGGCCUGGGCUCAACCGAGGAACUGCUUUUGAUACUGCCAAGCUAGAGUGCGGAAGGGGCAACUGGAAUUCCCAGUGUAGCGGUGAAAUGCGUAGAUAUUGGGAAGAACACCUGAGGCGAAGGCGGGUUGCUGGGCCGACACUGACGCUGAGGCGCGAAAGCCAGGGGGAGCAAACGGG